rnacentral:rRNA from 1 species
UGGGGAAUAUUGGACAAUGGGCGAAAGCCUGAUCCAGCCAUGCCGCGUGUGUGAAGAAGGUCUUCGGAUUGUAAAGCACUUUAAGUUGGGAGGAAGGGCAGUAAGCGAAUACCCUGCUGUCUUGACGUUACCGACAGAAUAAGCACCGGCUAACUCUGUGCCAGCAGCCGCGGUAAUACAGAGGGUGCAAGCGUUAAUCGGAAUUACUGGGCGUAAAGCGCGCGUAGGUGGUUCGUUAAGUUGAAUGUGAAAGCCCCGGGCUCAACCUGGGAACUGCAUCCAAAACUGGCGAGCUAGAGUGGGGCAGAGGGUGGUGGAAUUUCCUGUGUAGCGGUGAAAUGCGUAGAUAUAGGAAGGAACACCAGUGGCGAAGGCGACCGCCUGGGCUAAUACUGACACUGAGGUGCGAAAGAGUGGGGAGCAAACAGG